UUAUCGUUAUCUUUUCUUUUUUGCAGUCAAAGCCUGCCUUCUGACUUUAAUCUGUAGACGAAUUUGAGACAUAUCCAUCUCCACUCCCUUGGAGGACAUGUUUUUGCGGCGAUUCCCUCGGCAGCGAUCUUGAUAGUAGUCUAUUAGCGAUUAUAAAAUGUUGCUCCUUAAUAACGUUGCAUUCGGUUUGCGGGUGUCCGUUCGGUUGGUUGCACUGAGACCACUCAUUCCGUUCUAAGGAUGGAGAAGGCACCAGUUUAAGGGAGCAUAAUUAUCGCUGUCAGAGUGGCCGGCGAGGUUGGUUUUUAGUAUCUCUCUUUAUUCAGAAGCGUUGAUCAUGUCUGCGAAGGAGCGACUUAAAAGCAAGAUGAGCAAAGACAGCGUUACCUUGCUGCCCUGUUUUUAUUUCGUGGAGCUCCCGAUCCUGGCAUCUUCGGUGGUGAGCCUGUACUUCCUGGAGCUAACGGACAUCUUCAAGCCUGUGCAUUCAGGUUACAGCUGCAAUGACCGGACGCUGAGCAUGCCCUACAUCGAACCUAAGAAGGAGGUCGUUCCCUUCCUCAUGCUCUUCAGCCUGGCUUUUGCUGGCCCAGCAGUCACGAUUAUGAUCGGUGAGGGAAUCUUGUACUGUUGCUUGGCCAGAAGGAACAUCGCCAUCAAAACUGAAGCCAACAUAAAUGCUGCUGGCUGCAAUUUUAACUCCUACAUCCGGCGGGCUGUAAGGUUUGUGGGGGUCCAUGUGUUCGGCUUGUGCAUCACAGCCCUCAUCACUGACAUAAUCCAGCUCUCCACUGGCUACCAUGCUCCUUACUUCCUGACAGUGUGCAGGCCCAACUACACAACACUGAACACCACCUGUGACGAGAACGCCUUCAUUGUGGAUGACAUCUGCUCAGGGCCCGACAUCACAGCUAUCAACGCUGGCAGGAAGUCCUUCCCAUCCCAGCAUGCCACCCUGGCUGCCUUCGCUGCGGUGUAUGUCUCUAUGUACUUCAACGCCACGCUGACCGACUCCUCCAAGCUCCUCAAACCUCUGCUCGUCUUCUCCUUCAUCAUGUGUGCUGUCAUCUGCGGCCUGACGCGUAUCAUCCAGUUCAAGAACCACGCCAUUGAUGUCUACUGUGGUUUCCUCAUUGGUGGCAGUGUUGCCAUCUACCUGGGCCUGUACGCAGUGGGGAACUUCAAACCCAGUGAGGACACCUCCCUCCAUCAACGGCAGCGCCUGCAUGCCCACCUGCACCCCCACCCGCACCCCCACCCACACCCGCACCCACACCCACACCCACACCCACACCCACACCCGCAGCCCCUGCCACCGCCACAACAACCCCAGUCGACCCUGCAGAUCUCGGGGCAGCCACAGGCACUCGUGCCCCCGGCAGUGCUGCGUGAGCCCCUACGUCCGCUGCCCAACCUGACAACGGAGCAUGUAGCACGCCUGCUGCAGCCCAAGAGCCUGAGCAUGCGUGAGCGGCCCACAUCAGCACGCUCCGAAAGCAUCCUGCUGCGCGGGCCGCAGCGCUCCGGCAGCUCCAUGGGCAGCCUGAAGCGGGCAAGUACCGAGCUAGAGUGUAUAACCCCGCCCAGUCCACUGUGCAAGGAGAGCCUGGUGACGUUCAGCAACACGCUUCCGCGCACGCACUCGUUGGGCGGCGAGGAGCCCAUACCCCGCCGCCACGCCGCCAUUCACGCCUCCAUGGACUCCACGCGCUCCAAGCAGCUCCUGUCGCAGUGGAAAAGCAAGAACGAGGGCCGCAAGAUGUCGUUGCAGGCACUGGGGGCAAUGGUAAUGCCGGAAGGUGAAGAGGUGCGCUCACCGCAGAGGAGCAUGGAGCUACGCUGCAGCUCUGAGCCGGCCGCCAUGGGCCUGGACGGUGAGCUGCGCGGUGGGCCAAUGCCACAGUAUGUCAAGUUGCCGCCUGGUGCCGUGCCACUGCCCAAUCAUGUUGGAGGUGGUGGGCUGGCAGGAGGGGCCCGCGUGUCCAUCCAGUCACGGCCAGGUUCAUCGCAGCUGGUGCACAUCCCCGAGGAGACGCAGGAGAACACGUGCUCCUCGCCGCGAGAGGAUUGUGGGGAGGUGUGCGAUGGCGGAGGUGGGAACGGGCGCUCCAAAUGGCUGAAGGUGGCGGAGAAGAGCGGCGUGUGCAGGACUAACAGCCAGCCGCGCAUCAUGCAGGUGAUCGCCAUGUCCAAGCAGCAGGGCAUGCUGCAGGGCAGCCCCAAGAGCGAGGGCAGCACCGUCAGCUGCACGGGCUCCAUCCGCUACAAGGCGCUGACGGACCAGGAACCAGGCCCGGGCAUCGUGCAUGUGGACGCGCACCCAGAAAGCCGGCCCAUGGUGAAGUCGCCCUCGGCCGAUGGUACCGGCUCGUGGAGGUGGAGGCCACAGGAACGCGCCAGCCUGCGGCAGUCCUUCGAGCUCAACGACCUCAACCGCGACUCGGAGAGCUGCGACUCGCUCAGGGACGCCUACGGCUCCGUGGAUGGCCAGCGCAGCCUGCCGGACAUGAGCAACCCCCACCACCCACACUUCCACCACCACCACCAUCCACACCACCCACACCACCACCCGCACCAGGGCAUCACCACCAUCCGUGUGACACCUGUGGAAACAGGCAGUGAGGCCGCCUCCGAGACGCUUUCCGUUGCCUCCAGCCGGGACUCCACCCUCCGACGCAAAAACAACGUCAAUGUCAUCAUGCUGCCUGACCGUGGCCCAAGUCCGGACAACACCAGGAACCUGCCACAUUUUUUCAAAGCCUCCCCCACUCCUCCUCCCACCGUGACCUUUAAAGACUGAGCCUGAAGUUAUUCCCUUGUUUUCUUUUUUUUCCAAUCCCGGAGUGGCCUUGCUCGCUUGACUUGCAGUUCUCCGGAGGGACAGUUUGUAGACAGCUUGGAUAUUUACAGCAGGGCUCCUUCCCAACCUGCCCUUCACCCACCACCUGCUGGGGGAGGAUUGGGAUCGGCAGGGUCAUCCACCUCCUUUUCCUCCACCACUCCAUGUCGCCUCCCGAAAAUGGUUCCGGCUCCAAACCGCUGGCGGUGUGCAGAGAACGAAGGUUCAGCUUCGAUUCUUUUUGUCCCUCAUCACAGGAAUAUUCCUCUAAUAAUCAUUAUUCAUAGAGUGCCUCCGAAAAAAAUCAGAGCCAGAUAUUGAUUUAUUGCUGUAAAUUACUGUAUCUGUGCCAAUGCAGGACAGUAUCUCCCUAAUACAGUAAUGUGCCGCAUAAUCGCCAGAUGCUCUGGAUGCUUUUAGAUACCUUCUUUGAGGUGCAGAACAGCACUAUCAAUAGCUUUGUGUGUGGCACUGAACAUUUGUCAUGAUGUGGGAUCUUGCUACACUUUAGACCGAGUACCAGGGCCUAGAUUGCUAGCAUUUUCAGUGCAUUUCACUGUUAGUAAAAAAGUAAAAAAGCACAUGCCUGGUUGAAGAGUUAGACCCUGACAGCGUCAGUGAAAAAUGCACAAACGGAAAAACAGGUGAGCCUGACCCCCUGAUCUCCUUUUUUGGGGGGCAGGAGAAGUCAGGUGAGGGCUUCCUUGUUAAUGAACCGAGCGCUGAUGCCAGCGUUUGUGACCCUGCCGCAUUGUUUACAUCAUAUUUACAAGACAAAAAAAAAAAAAGAAUGUAUUAAUAACCCUGAUAACUUCAACAUGAUGAGAGUUUAACUGCAACAAAGUACAGUAACAUUUAUAGAACUUAAUGAUUAAGGUAAUUUUUAUUACUUCUGUCUCAUUCAAAAUUAAAUGACACUGAUACACAUAUACAUAUUUUCAAUGUAUGUCUUAAAAGGAUAUAUCAGAAAUUAGCCAUUUAAUUUUAGAAUUUUAUACAUGACUGUACAGUAUAAAUGUACCCUACAAAAUGGCUUUAAACUGAUCUUAGAACUGCAUGGUCAUCUGAUAUUGUAUGUACUGUAACAAUGUUUCUUUUUGGAUAUUUGAGUUUGUUUUUGUUUUUGUAAAUGAUGCCUUUUGAUGGUGAAGGUUGUUACCUUUAUAUAUGCUCAACAGUGCAUUCUAUCCAGUCAACCAAUUAACCACUGGGUCUUUGUAAAUAGAUAAUUGUAGUUUUGCCGGUGAACUCAUGCUAUAGUGUGAAUUAAAAGAGAGAUGUUAAAUUUGGACGGUGUUAUUCACAUGAGCAGCUGUUUAAAGAGUGAUCACAUGGAACACAUUUAUUUGAGUGCUAUAAAGAAAUGCAUUCCUUUUUUGCAUUGGAACAAACAAGGUGGAACAUGGUUGUAAUGGCUUUUUGAAGUUGAACUUUAAAGACAUGACAAAUAAAUAACCUGAUAUUUUAA